UCAAGUAGAGAAGGGCACACGGUGAAUGCCUAGGCACUGGAAGCCGAUGAAGGACGUGACAAACGACGAAAUGCUUCGGGGAGCGGUAAGUACGCAGAGAUCCGGAGAUAUCCGAAUGGGGGAACCCGGCACCGCGAGGUGUCACCUUGAAUGUGAAUAGAUAGCAUUAAGGAGGAAGACGCAGUGAACUGAAACAUCUAAGUAGCUGCAGGAAGAGAAAGAAAGAUCGAUUUCCCAAGUAGCGGCGAGCGAACAGGAAAGAGCCCAAACCUAAUGGCUUGCCAUUAGGGGUAGAAGGACUGUAAAAAGCCGAAUGGAAGGAUAGCAGAAUUAUCUGGGAAGAUAAGCCAAAGAGGGUGAGAGCCCCGUAAGCGAAAUCCGGAAACGAGGUGAGCAGGAUCCUGAGUAGGUCGGGACACGAGGAAUCCCGAUUGAAUCCGCGAGGACCAUCUCGCAAGGCUAAAUACUAACCAGUGACCGAUAGUGAACCAGUACCGUGAGGGAAAGGUGAAAAGAACCCCGGGAGGGGAGUGAAAGAGAACCUGAAACCGUGUGCCUACAAGUAGUCAGAGCACGUUAAAGUGUGAUGGCGUGCCUUUUGUAGAAUGAACCGGCGAGUUGCGUUGUGGUGCAAGGUUAAGUCAGAAAAGACGGAGCCGAAGCGAAAGCGAGUCUGAAGAGGGCGAGAUAGUAUCAUGACGCAGACCCGAAACCAAGUGACCUACCCAUGACCAGGUUGAAGGCGUGGUAAAACACGCUGGAGGACCGAACCCACGCAAGUUGAAAAUUGCGGGGAUGAGUUGUGGGUAGCGGUGAAAUUCCAAACGAACUUGGAGAUAGCUGGUUCUCUCCGAAAUAGCUUUAGGGCUAGCCUCGUGUGAAUGAUAAUGGAGGUAGAGCACUGUUUGGACUAGGGGCCCGUCAGGGGUUACUGAAUCCAGAUAAACUCCGAAUGCCAGAUAUCAAUGCACGGGAGUCAGACUGCGAGUGAUAAGAUCCGUAGUCGAAAGGGAAACAGCCCAGAUCACCGGUUAAGGUCCCAAAAUCUAUGCUAAGUGGAAAAGGAUGUGGAGUUGCACAGACAACUAGGAUGUUGGCUCAGAAGCAGCCACCAUUUAAAGAGUGCGUAAUAGCUCACUAGUCGAGUGACGCUGCGCCGAAAAUUUACCGGGGCUAAGCAUAGUACCGAAACCGUGGAUGCAGGUAACUGCGUGGUAGGAGAGCGUUCUAAAGGCGGAGAAGGCAGAUCGAGAGGACUGUUGGAGCGUUUAGAAGUGAGAAUGCCGGUAUAAGUAGCGAAAGACAGGUGAGAAUCCUGUCCGCCGAAAGACUAAGGUUUCCUGGGGCAGGCUCGUCCGCCCAGGGUAAGUCGGGACCUAAGGUAAGGCCGAGAGGCGUAGCCGAUGGACAACAGGUAGAUAUUCCUGUACUAUUCGUAAUCGAUAAGAGCGAAGGAGGGACGCAGGAGGCUAAUGACGCAUGGAGAUGGAAUCAUGUGUAAGCGUUAAGGGAGGAUACGAGUCAAAUGCUUGUAGCCAAUUUUGAGACGUGAUGCGGAGUGAAAUCAAAGUAGCGAAGGUCAUGAAGUCACACUGCCAAGAAAAGCUUCUAGCCAGAGAGCGAGUACCCGUACCGCAAACCGACACAGGUAGUCGAGGAGAGAAUCCUCAGGUGAGCGAGAGAACUCUCGUUAAGGAACUCGGCAAAAUAACCCCGUAACUUAGGGAGAAGGGGUGCUGAAGAGAAAUCAGCCGCAGUGAAGAGGCCCAAACAACUGUUUAUCAAAAACACAGGUAUCUGCAAAAUCGUAAGAUGACGUAUAGGUACUGACACCUGCCCGGUGCUGGAAGGUUAAGAGGAUAGCUUAGCGAAAGCGAAGGUUAGAAUUGAAGCCCCAGUAAACGGCGGCCGUAACUAUAACGGUCCUAAGGUAGCGAAAUUCCUUGUCGGGUAAGUUCCGACCUGCACGAAAGGUGUAAUGA
rnacentral:rRNA from 1 species